rnacentral:lncRNA from 1 species
UACCCAGCACCGGCCUCAGUGAAGCAUCUGGAGUUCUUGAGGUACUCUUGCAUCAUCUUCAUUCUUUCAAUGUUUCAGCAAUUGUCCAGCGAUUAGGAGUGUUGCGAAAAUGAACUCUUUUUAGAGGUGAUGUCACUAUCAAAAUGCCAAUUUCAUAAUUCAUGCAAAUGAAGGAGUUUCUCGAUGAUUAUGAUCUCUCUUUCUUUUAAAUCCUUGCCCAUGUGAUUCCGUGAUCAAACCUUGUUACCCGGUUGGCACACCACAUUGAGCCGCAAGUUGGAAGAGCUAGAGAAAAGAUUCGAAAAGCUGGGAGAGCUAGUAGAGGACAAACUAUGACUCCAGUCAUUAGCAUCUGCAAAUCAUCAAACGCCAGUGGAGUGCCUGUAUCAUGAAAAAAAAAAAAUGGUACUAACAAUUGCGUAUCAUCUCUUCAAAGUACUAUUCUGGAUCCCGC